rnacentral:rRNA from 1 species
CCUACGGGGGGCUGCAGUGGGGAAUAUUGGACAAUGGGCGCAAGCCUGAUCCAGCCAUACCGCGUGGGUGAAGAAGGCCUUCGGGUUGUAAAGCCCUUUUGUUGGGAAAGAAAUCCAGCCGGCUAAUACCUGGUUGGGAUGACGGUACCCAAAGAAUAAGCACCGGCUAACUUCGUGCCAGCAGCCGCGGUAAUACGAAGGGUGAAAGCGUUACUCGGAAUUACUGGGCGUAAUGAUUGCGGAGGUGGUUGAAAGCCCUGGGCUCAACCUGGGAACUGCAGUGGAUACUGGAUGACUAGAGUGUGGUAGAGGGUAGCGGAAUUCCUGGUGUAGCAGUGAAAUGCGUAGAGAUCAGGAGGAACAUCCAUGGCGAAGGCAGCUACCUGGACCAACACUGACACUGAGGCACGAAAGCGUGGGGGGCAAACAGGAUUAGAUACCCUUGUAGUC